AACGAACGCUGGCGGCAUGCCUAACACAUGCAAGUCGAACGGGAUCCGGACUUCGGUCCGGUGAGAGUGGCGGACGGGUGAGUAACACGUGGGAACCUGCCCUUGGGUUCGGGAUAACCG
rnacentral:rRNA from 1 species